GUGAUAGGCCGUGGUUUACUGGAGGGGACAGAACUGUGAAUAGUUGAAGCCGUGAGGUCGGGAUGAUCAUCUCCUGCAGUCAGCUGCUGAGUGUGUGACCUGGAGAGGGAGCAAAGGCUAGACUGAAGAUCCAAACAAACGCGGGUGGCAGCAGCACACACGCGCACAGCAUGGGAAAAAGAGAGGGGAGAGGUGCCGAGGAAAAGGGAGGGGCCGGAGAAAGAGGCGGGAGGGAACAAAACAAGGGAAAGAGUUACUCUGCGAGUGGGAGAAGGAAGAAAGCUGCGGUCCGCUUGAGUUUGACGCCAGGCAUGCGGCAUCCUCGGCACAGCACGGAACCAAAAUAGAGCCGGGAACGUGGGGCGCGUUUCAGGAAAAGGGGACUGCAAGGAGAAGGGAAGCGUUAAUUCCCAACCAUGAAUCCCAGCAGCUCUCUACGGAGGGGUUUGUCCUCCCUUCGCGAUGCUUGGAGGUGGAGUACAGGUUACCUGUUCAAGGGCUCAACCAAAUCCUCCAAGAGCAUGGAGUCUCGACACAGACCAUCCAGGAGCUUGAGUCUGAUCCAGGCCAUGGAGGAAAACUAUGAGGUGGACCUGGUCUACAUCACAGAGCGCAUCAUUUCUGUGAGCUUCCCCAGUAAUGUAGAAGAGCCAAGCUACAGCGCUAACAUAAAGGAGGUCGCCACCAUGCUACGCUCCAAACAUGGUGACAACUACUUGCUCUUCAACCUCAGUGAAAAGCGAUUUGAUAUCUCCAAGCUGAAUCCCAAAGUGCUGGAUUUUGGCUGGCCGGACCAUCACGCUCCAGCCCUGGAUAAGAUCUGCAGCAUCUGCAAAGCCAUGGACACUUGGAUGAACGCUGACAGUCACAAUGUGGUGGUCUUACACAAUAAGGGAAACCGAGGUCGAACGGGGGUAGUUGUGGCUGCAUACAUGCAUUACAGCAACAUAUCAGCGAGUGCAGACCAGGCUCUGGACAGGUUUGCCAUGAAGCGGUUUUAUGAAGAUAAAGUGCUUCCUGUGGGUCAGCCCUCUUCCUGUGGGUAUGUGCAGUACUUCAGUGGUCUGCUCUCCGGCCAUAUCAAGAUCAACAACAAGCCCCUGUUCCUGCACCACGUCAUCAUGCACGGGAUCCCAAACUUCGAGUCCAAAGGAGGUUGCCGCCCUUUCCUCAAGAUCUACCAGGCUAUGCAAUUUCCUGAAUAUGGAAAAGUGGAAUUUGUCUUUUCUUUCGGCCCAGAAAAAAUCCAAGGAAUGGACCACCUUGAGAACGGGCCCAGUGUUUCUGUGGACUACAAUACCCAAGAUCCUCUGAUUCGCUGGGAUUCUUACGAGAACUUCAACCAGCACUGUGAAGAUUCAGAGGAGGACGUUAUUCACACACAAGGUCCAUUGGAUGGUAGUCUCUACGCUAAGGUUCGGAAGAAAGAGUCUCUUGAGGGAGGGGUCACAACCAAUGGUCUCCCAGCCAGUGUCGAUCACACUUUACCUGCUGUAGACCACACUCUACCACCAGUCGACCACGCCCUGUCUGUAAGCAGUGACUCGGGCAACUCCACUGCUUCCAUCAAAACCGACCGCACGGAUGAACCGUCCUCCCAGCCCCUCAGCCCAGAGGAAAAACAGGAGCUGGACCAGUUGCUCAGUGGCUUGGAAGCACCAAUGCAACGCACAGGUUACCAAAGCAGCCCUGGCAGCGGAGGCGGUGGAGUCCUACACCUCGUCCCCGCCCAGGUUCAUGUCAAUGGACACAACAACAUAGACCGUGAGACAGAUAUCCUUGAUGAUGACCUGCCCAACAGUCAGGAAGGGAACAGUGCGGACAGUCUCGGGACCAUCUCGUCUUUUGAGGGCAGAGCCACUCCAGCAGAUCUGUACUACCAGCCAGAGACGGUCAUUAAUGGAAAAGAUGCACAAGAUGACUUAGAGAAGGGUGUCCACAAGAAAAUACCAGAGCCCAAAGUCCAAAGCUCCUCAUCUGUUCAAGAGCUCUUAGGGUCCUCUAGUGGCUUUGCCAACCAGAAUGGCAACAUCUGCCGAUCUCAAUCAUUAGGGGCAGCCCCGACCACAGAGCAGAAGUACAUGCCCAAAGCUCCCACACGCACGAUUAGCAGUAGGGAUGCAGUGCAAAGGGGACUGAAUGUGUGGCAACAAUAUGGUGUUCCUGAGGUCCCAGUCACAGAUGGGGUCACCUUCAACCCUGUACUACAGUCCCACAGUCUUCCAGAGUUUCCUCACAUGGCAUCUCAGCAAGAAAUUGAGCAGUCCAUUGAAGCACUUAACAUGCUGAUGCUGGACCUUGACCCAGCACUUACACAAGUCCCCAAGUCCCAUAGUGCCCCAUCUGGAGAUGGUGGAGUGGUCACCACUCAACCAUCAAACCCAUUAUCACAAACCCAAGCACGGCCGUCCUACCAAUCUGACACAGCAGAAGGUUGGGCUCCAAUGUCCCAGUCCACAGUGCCUUCCACCGCCUUUGGAGUUCUCCAUUUGAAACCCCUCAACAUUUACCCCUCAAGUUCCACGUCCCAGUCCCCUGAGCCCCAGGAGAGUCAGCGUAGCUAUUCUGCCUCCUCAUCCCCUCUACCUAAAGAGUCUGAACCGGAAGAUGCCAACUACAAACUGGGUGGUCUUGUAGCUCACCGUGUAGCUGGAGUUCAGUCUGGUGAAAUGUCACCAGAUGAGACUUCAGUUCCUGGACGGUGCCGGACCAUCAGUGAGGACCUUUCCCAAGAUGAAAGCCCAACCCGAGGAAGCUCAGUCCGCUCCCCCAUCCGCUGCAUUUCACCCGAGUUGGCCAAUACGAUUGCUUUGAACCCUGGGGGGCGGCCCAAGGAGAGACACAUGCAUAGCUACAGAGAAGCGUUUGAGGAAAUGGAUGGGGGUCCCGUCAGCCCCCCUCCGAUCGCUAGUCGAUCUCCACCAGGACUGGCCAAAACACCACUGUCCUUCCUGGGCUUGAAACCCCACAACCCUGCUGAGAUACUGCUCAACCAGACAGGUUCAGGUGAGCCUCGUAGCUAUGUGGAGUCUGUGGCCAAAGCAGCUGCAGGUGGGCUGCCAGCGUCGCCUGUGUCUCCAACAUAUGACAGCAACAGCUUUGCACGUCCUGUCGGGCCGUCCCAUGCCUACAACGCUCCUCUUUCCUCCAGCAUGUCCACUACCCUCAUUGAAAGCACAUUGACUGACAGCGGGGUUGGGUUGAAUUCUUUGUCCCAGGCUGCUGUCGACUCUAUCCUUCACUCCCAGCCCUCCGAAAGCACAUACCAAACACCUACACCCUCUUACCCCACCUCUAGCAGCAUGUUGGGUGGCUACAUCACUCCUGAUAUCAGCCCCUCUCUGCCAGAGACCAUGCAAAAUAACGCCACCACCAUCCAGCCACUCGCCGGAAGCCCUGGCACAAGACACCAAGCCGUCCUGCCCGACAUGAUGUCCGCUCCCGGUCUCCAGCACAGAAUACCUAAUCAGGAUGUCCCCAUUCUGGCCCAACAACCAACCCCGGCCAAUGGUCAUCUGCCUGGAAUGGCCGGUAGUCCCAUGCAAGGAAGACAUGCAAUGGUGUCUCAAGGAACGCAGAGCAGUCCGAUGCUGUCCAGACAGUAUCCUGUCACCUAUGGGACUCAGAGUAGUCCGAUUCUCAGCAGACAACCUAUGGGACAAGCCGUCCAGAGCAGCCCCGUCCUCAACCAACAGGUGUCCCUAAAUCAACCAAUCAUUCUGCCUAACCAAAGCAGCCCGGUGUUGAGUAGACAGCCAUCCGUUAGCCAACCCAACCAGGGCAGCCCCGUCCUGAGCAGGCAAUCCCCACUUACACAUCCCAGUCAGGGCAGCCCCGUUCUGGGAUGCCAUCCGUCCCUAAUGCAGGGUAGCCCCAGUCUGGACAGGCACCCAAUGUACAGUGGUUACACUACUCCAGAAGAGCGACACGGAGCCCUUUCGCGCCAGAGCAGCUCCUCUGGAUACCAGCCACCAUCUACACCUUCUUUCCCAGUCUCUCCGGCUGGAUACAUAGAUGGAGUGGGAUUCAGACAGGGCAGUCCUGCCCCCCAACCUCAGCUCCCCGAAAAGAGACGUAUGUCCAGCAGCGAUCGCUCUACUGGUGGACUGUCCUACGGAACGCUCAACGGGAAGAUGUCCUCGCCAGUGUCCAGUGGUGGCAGCACUCCAAGCGCUCAUUUCUUCCACACGCUCCCUGAUUUCUCCAAACUCAACAUGUGCGAAGGAAGUCCAGAGACCAGUCUGCACGUGAAGUUUGUCCAGGACACGUCCAAAUUCUGGUAUAAACCAGAUAUCUCCAGAGACCAAGCCAUCAACAUGCUGAAAGAUCAAGAGCCUGGAGCCUUUGUCAUUCGGGACAGUCAUUCAUUCAGAGGGGCCUACGGCUUGGCCAUGAAAGUUGCCUCACCACCUCCGACUGUGCAACCUACAAAGAAAGCUGGAGAUGUCACUAAUGAGCUGGUGAGACAUUUCCUGAUUGAGACGAGUCCGAAAGGCGUGAGACUGAAGGGCUGCCCUAACGAGCUGUACUUUGGCUGCCUGUCUGCACUGGUCUACCAGCACUCAAUCACUCCACUGGCUCUACCCUGCAAACUAGUCAUACCAACCAGAGAUCCUCUAGAGGACUCUCCUGUGAUCGCAACACCAACUAACCCAGCGGCAGAGAUGCUCAAACAGGGUGCAGCAUGCAAUGUCCUGUACAUAAACUCGGUGGAUAUGGAGUCUCUGACUGGGCCUCAGGCCAUCGCCAAGGCCAUCUCAGAAACCAUGGUAGCCAGUCCCGCACCUUCAGCCACUAUUGUUCACUUUAAGGUGUCGGCACAAGGCAUCACUCUCACUGACAACCAGAGAAAGCUUUUCUUCAGACGUCAUUAUCCCAUCAGUACGGUCACGUUCUCAUUAACUUUAACCACAGCAGUCAAUCAAGGCAGCACGACAGACAACGUCAGUCACCUGUUCGCCGAGAUGGAUCCCAAUCAACCGGCCACGGCCAUCGUCAGCUUUGUCUCUAAAGUGAUGACCAACUCUCAGAAGCAGUGA
rnacentral:lncRNA from 1 species